UACGUAGGGUGCGAGCGUCGUCCGGAAUUAUUGGGCGUAAAGAGCUUGUAGGCGGUUUGUCGCGUCUGCUGUGAAAUCUCAAGGCUCAACCUUGAGCUUGCAGUGGGUACGGGCAGACUAGAGUGUGGUAGGGGAGACUGGAAUUCCUGGUGUAGCGGUGAAAUGCGCAGAUAUCAGGAGGAACACCGAUGGCGAAGGCAGGUCUCUGGGCAACUACUGACGCUGAGGAGCGAAAGCGUGGGGAGCGAACAGG
rnacentral:rRNA from 1 species